rnacentral:rRNA from 1 species
UACGUAGGGUGCAAGCGUUGUCCGGAAUUAUUGGGCGUAAAGAGCUCGUAGGCGGUUUGUCGCGUCUGCUGUGAAAACUCGGGGCUUAACUCCGGGCCUGCAGUGGGUACGGGCAGACUAGAGUGCGGUAGGGGAGACUGGAAUUCCUGGUGUAGCGGUGAAAUGCGUAGAUAUCGAGAGGAACACCUGCGGCGAAGGCGGGUUGCUGGGCUGACACUGACGCUCAUGCACGAAAGCGUGGGGAGCAAACAGG